rnacentral:lncRNA from 1 species
ACCCGCUCCCAGACCUUCAUGGUGUGACUUAUUAAUUUGAUACCCCUAUAGUUGUUGCAGCACUGGAUGUCCCCUUUAUUCUUGUACAAGGGCAUCACUAUACUCCACCUCCACUCAUCCGACAUCCUUUUGGUCCUGAAGAUCACGUUGAACAACCUGGAGAGACACUCCACUCCUGACCUACCCAUGCACUUCCACAACUCCGCGGGGAUCUCGUCAGGCCCGGUCGCUCGACCCCUACUCAUCCUACGCAAAGCCCCCAUGACCUNNN